rnacentral:rRNA from 1 species
AUUGAACGCUGGCGGCAUGCCUUACACAUGCAAGUCGAACGGUAACAGGUUAAGCUGACGAGUGGCGAACGGGUGAGUAAUGUAUCGGAACGUGCCCAGUCGUGGGGGAUAACUGCUCGAAAGAGCAGCUAAUACCGCAUACGACCUGAGGGUGAAAGCGGGGGAUCGCAGGACCUCGCGCGAUUGGAGCGGCCGAUAUCAGAUUAGGUAGUUGGUGAGGUAAAGGCUCACCAAGCCGACGAUCUGUAGCUGGUCUGAGAGGACGACCAGCCACACUGGGACUGAGACACGGCCCAGACUCCUACGGGAGGCAGCAGUGGGGAAUUUUGGACAAUGGGCGCAAGCCUGAUCCAGCCAUGCCGCGUGCGGGAAGAAGGCCUUCGGGUUGUAAACCGCUUUUGUCAGGGAAGAAAAGGUUCUGGCUAAUACCUGGGACUCAUGACGGUACCUGAAGAAUAAGCACCGGCUAACUACGUG